UACAUACUCCCUCCGUUCCGAAUUACUCGUCGCAAAAAUGGAUGUAUCUAGAUGUAUUUUAGUUAUAGAUACAUUCAUUUCUGCGACGAGUAAUUUGGAACGGAGGGAGUAGCUU
rnacentral:pre_miRNA from 1 species